rnacentral:rRNA from 1 species
AUUGAACGCUGGCGGCAGGCCUAACACAUGCAAGUCGAGCGGAUGAAGGGAGCUUGCUCCUGGAUUCAGCGGCGGACGGGUGAGUAAUGCCUAGGAAUCUGCCUGGUAGUGGGGGAUAACGUCCGGAAACGGGCGCUAAUACCGCAUACGUCCUGAGGGAGAAAGUGGGGGAUCUUCGGACCUCACGCUAUCAGAUGAGCCUAGGUCGGAUUAGCUAGUUGGUGGGGUAAAGGCCUACCAAGGCGACGAUCCGUAACUGGUCUGAGAGGAUGAUCAGUCACACUGGAACUGAGACACGGGCCAGACUCCUACGGGAGGCAGCAGUGGGGAAUAUUGGACAAUGGGCGAAAGCCUGAUCCAGCCAUGCCGCGUGCGUGAAGAAGGUCUUCGGAUUGUAAAGCACUUUAAGUUGGGAGGAAGGGCAGUAAGUUAAUACCUUGCUGUUUUGACGUUACCAACAGAAUAAGCACCGGCUAACUUCGUG